AAAUAAAUUGAGAAGGGCGUUUGGUGAAUGCCUUGGCGUCAAGAGACGAAGAAGGACCUGCUAAGCUGGGAAAAGUUGCAACAAGGUGCUACGAACCGUUUGAGUUGCAAAUAUCCGAAUGGGGAAACCCACUACGUAUGUAGUAUCUCUAGCUGAAUAAAUAGGUUAGAGAGGUGAACUCUGGGAACUGAAACAUCUAAGUACCAGAAGGAAAAGAAAAAAAGUACUUUAAAUUCAUUUAAAGAAUAUUCCGAAAGUAGUGGCGAGCGAAAUCGGAUUAAGUUGAUAAAAUUAAAGUAACAUAGAUAGAAGAAUAGUAUGGAAAGACUAACGAUACAGGGUGAUAGUCCCGUAAUUGAAAUGUUGUUAUGAAUUUGUUUUAUUAUAGUAAGGGGAAGUCAAAAUUCCUUUGAAGAUGGGGGAUCCACCCUCCAAGCUUAAAUACUACUUGACGACCGAUAGUGAACCAGUACCGUGAGGGAAAGGUGAAAAGAACCCCGGGAGGGGAGUGAAAUAGAUCCUGAAACCGAAUGCCUACAAACAGAUAGAGGAACGAAAGUUCUGAUAUCGUACUUAUUGCAAAAAGGUCAGCGAGUUAAUUUAAUAUGCAAGCUUAAGCCGUUAGGUGUAGGCAUAGCGAAAGCGAGUUUUAAAAGGGCGUUUGAGUAUAUUAAGUUAGACCCGAAACCAGGUGAGCUAACCAUGAGCAGGCUGAAAAUAUAUUAAAACCAUAUUGGAGGGCCGAACCCGUUGCUGUUGCAAAAGCAUGGGAAGACUUGUGGUUAGGGGUGAAAGGCUAAUCAAACCUGGAUAUAGCUGGUUUUCCGCGAAAUAUAUUUAAGUAUAGCGUCGUUUGUUCAAUUUGGGGGGUAGAGCACUGAAGAAACUAGGGGGGAGAGAUCCUUACUGAAUUUCAUCAAACUCCGAAUACCCAAAUUUAAUAUAAAACGGCAGUCAGACCAGUGGCGACAAGGUCUUUGGUCGAAAGAGAAAGAGCUCAGACUAUCAGUUAAGGUCCCUAAAUAUCUACUAAGUGUAAAUAAAGAAAGUUAAAAAACAAAUACAACUAGGAUGUAGGCUUUAAACCAGCCAUCAUUUAAAGAAAGCGUACUAGCUCACUAGUCUUAGUUUUUUAGCAUCGAAAAUUCAGCGGGGCUAAGUAGAUUACCGAAACUAUAGAUGGUAUAAUUUUUUGAAAUUAUAUCGUGGUAGCGGAACGUUCUAUAAACCGGAGAAGAAAAAAUGAGAGUUUUUUUGGAGGUAAUAGAAGUGAGAAUGCUGACAUAAGUAACGUAAAGACAUGUGAAAGUCAUGUCCGCCGAAAGUUCAAGGGUUCCUGUCCAACGGAAAUCGAGGCAGGGUUAGUCGGCUCCUAAGGCGAGGACGAAAGUCGUAGCUGAUGGAAAGAAGGUUAAUAUUCCUUCACCUAUUGUAAGUGACGAUAAAAAGUGUUCUUCAUAACUUAUUGGAUUGUUAUGGAGGGUGUUUUUUGUCCAGGAAAUAGCUUGCAUUAACAAAAUAGGCCGUACCGUAAACCGACACAGGUGAACUAGUAUAAAUGUACUAAGGCGUGGAGAAAAUGAUGCUGAAGGAACUCGGCAAAUUGCCUCUGUAACUUCGGGACAAAGAGGACUUAUUUUUGGGCAACCAUAAGUAAGUGGAACAUAAAUGGGAGUAGCGACUGUUUAACAAAAACACAGGAUUAUGCUAACUCGUAAGAGGAUGUAUAUGAUCUGACGCCUGCCCGGUGCUAUAAGACAAAAAGGAGGGGUGAAUAGCUCUGAAUUGAAGUCCUAGUAAACGGCAGCUGUAUUCUGACGGUUCUAAGGUAGCGAAAUUCCUUGUCAGGUAAGUUCUGACGCGCAUGAAUGGCGUAACGACUGCUCCGCUGUCUCCAGCAUCAACUCAGUGAAAUUGAACUCUCUGUGAAAAUGCAGAGUAACCGUAGUUAGAAGAGAAGACCCCAUGCACCUUUACUGUGGCUUUAUAUUGGUUUGAAAAAUUAUUUGUGUAGAAUAGGUGGGAAUCUGUGAAGUUAGAACGCUAGUUUUAAUGGAGAUGUCAGUGAAAUACCACUCUUAUAAUUUUUUAAAUCUAACUCGUAUCAUUGAAUCAUGAUAGGGGACAUUAUAUGGCUGACAGUUUGACUGGGGCGGUCGCCUCCUAAAGAGUAACGGAGGUGUGCAAAGGUAGGUUCAUGAUGGAUGGAAACCAUCAAUUGAGUGUAAUGGCAAAAACCUGCCUGACUGUAACACGUACAUGUGGAACAGAUACGAAAGUAGGUCAUAGUGAUCUGGUGGUACCUAGUGGUAGGGCCAUCACUUAACGAAUAAAAGGUACGCUGGGGAUAACAGGCUAGUAACUCGUGAGCGUUCAUAGCGAGCGGGUUGUUCGGCACCUCGAUGUCGGCUCAUCGCAUCCCGGGGCUGUAUAAGGUCCCAAGGGUUUGGCUGUUCGCCAAUUAAAGCGGUACGCGAGCUGGGUUCAGACCGUCGUGAGACAGGUCGGUUUCUAUCUGCUAUGGUUGUAGGAAAAUUGAAGGGAUUUGCUUCUAGUACGAGAGGACCGAAGUGAACAUACCUCUGGUGUACGGGUUGUGAUGCCAAUUGCAGCGCCCGGUAGCUAAAGUAUGGAUAAGAUAACUGCUGAAAGCAUAUAAGUAGGAAACUGACCCUAAAACUAGUUUUCCCUAGAUUUUAUAAUCUUAAAAAGUCCUUAUAGACUAUGAGGUUGAUAGGUUGGGUGUGUAAGAACGGUGACGUUUUAAGCUAACCAAUACUAAUACUUUUUUGUUUUAUUUUU
rfam:Rickettsiales bacterium (ex Bugula neritina AB1) isolate AB1-6 AB836_contig000002, whole genome shotgun sequence.